AUUGAACGCUGGCGGCAUGCCUUACACAUGCAAGUCGAACGGCAGCACGGGAGCAAUCCUGGUGGCGAGUGGCGAACGGGUGAGUAAUAUAUCGGAACGUGCCCAGUCGUGGGGAUAACGUAGCGAAAGCUACGCUAAUACCGCAUACGAUCUAUGGAUGAAAGCGGGGGAUCGCAAGACCUCGCGCGAUUGGAGCGGCCGAUAUCAGAUUAGGUAGUUGGUGAGGUAAAGGGCUCACCAAGCCGACGAUCUGUAGCUGGUCUGAGAGGACGACCAGCCACACUGGGACUGAGACACGGCCCAGACUCCUACGGGAGGCAGCAGUGGGGAAUUUUGGACAAUGGGCGCAAGCCUGAUCCAGCAAUGCCGCGUGCAGGAUGAAGGCCU
rnacentral:rRNA from 1 species